rnacentral:rRNA from 1 species
AGCGUUGCUCGGAAUUACUGGGCGUAAAGGGAGCGUAGGCGGAUAGUUUAGUCAGAGGUGAAAGCCCAGGGCUCAACCUUGGAAUUGCCUUUGAUACUGGCUAUCUUGAGUACGGAAGAGGUAUGUGGAACUCCGAGUGUAGAGGUGAAAUUCGUAGAUAUUCGGAAGAACACCAGUGGCGAAGGCGACAUACUGGUCCGUUACUGACGCUGAGGCUCGAAAGCGUGGGGAGCAAACAGGAUU